AGUGAACGCUGGCGGUAGGCCUAACACAUGCAAGUCGAACGGCAGCACAGUAAGAGCUUGCUCUUACGGGUGGCGAGUGGCGGACGGGUGAGGAAUACAUCGGAAUCUACUUUUUCGUGGGGGAUAACGUAGGGAAACUUACGCUAAUACCGCAUACGACCUACGGGUGAAAGCAGGGGAUCUUCGGACCUUGCGCGAUUGAAUGAGCCGAUGUCGGAUUAGCUAGUUGGCGGGGUAAAGGCCCACCAAGGCGACGAUCCGUAGCUGGUCUGAGAGAAUGGUCGGCCGCACUGGAACUGAGACACGGUCCUGACGCCUACGGGAGGCAGCAGUGUGGAAUAUUGGACAAUGGGCGCAAGCCUGAUCCAGCCAUACCGCGUGGGUGAAGAAGGCCUUCGGGUUGUAAAGCCCUUUUGUUGGGAAAGAAAAGCAGCAGGUUAAUACCCCGCUGUUCUGACGGUACCCAAAGAAUAAGCACCGGCUAACUUCGUG
rnacentral:rRNA from 1 species